AACGAACGCUGGCGGCAGGCUUAACACAUGCAAGUCGAACGGGUGUAGCAAUACAUCAGUGGCAGACGGGUGAGUAACACGUGGGAACCUUCCUAGGGGUACGGAACAACUCAGGGAAACUUGAGCUAAUACCGUAUACGUCCGUGAGGAGAAAGAUUUAUCGCCCUUAGACGGGCCCGCGUCGGAUUAGGUAGUUGGUGGGGUAACGGCCUACCAAGCCUGCGAUCCGUAGCUGAUCUGAGAGGAUGAUCAGCCACACUGGGACUGAGACACGGCCCAGACUCCUACGGGAGGCAGCAGUGGGGAAUCUUGGACAAUGGGCGCAAGCCUGAUCCAGCCAUGCCGCGUGAGUGAAGAAGGCCUUAGGGUUGUAAAGCUCUUUUACCAGGGACGAUAAUGACGGUACCUGGAGAAUAAGCCCCGGCAAACUUCGUGCCAGCCGCCGCAGUAACAC
rnacentral:rRNA from 1 species